rnacentral:rRNA from 1 species
AGUGAACGCUGGCGGCGUGCUUAACACAUGCAAGUCGAACGAGAACGGAAUAUAGCUUGCUAUAUUUGUCAGCUAAGUGGCGCACGGGUGAGUAAUGUAUAGAUAACCUGCCCUCUAGAAAGGAAUAACAGUUGGAAACGACUGCUAAUGCCCUAUAUGCCUUUAAUACAUAAGUAUGCAAGGGAAACGCUUUAGUGCUAGAGGAUGGGUCUGUAUGGUAUCAGCUUGUUGGUGAGGUAAUGGCUCACCAAGGCUAUGACGCCUAACUGGUUUGAGAGGAUGAUCAGGCACACUGGAACUGAGACACGGUCCAGACUCCUACGGGAGGCAGCAGUGGGGAAUAUUGCACAAUGGACGAAAGUCUGAUGCAGCAACGCCGCGUGGAGGAUGACACAUUUCGGUGCGUAAACUCCUUUUAUAUAGGAAGAUAAUGACGGUACUAUAUGAAUAAGCACCGGCUAACUCCGUGCCAGCCGCCGCGGUAA